AGUAUUUACAGCAGUGAGAACAUGCAGUCCCUCCUCAGAUGAUUCCAAUAUGCCUUUAUAAAUGCAAGGUGAGGGCUGGAGCCAAAGGUACCGGGAAUGCAGGGUGUGGGGAACCCAGCAGGGUGAGCAUCUUUGCCUCCCGUGAGCAGGUGGGAUGCUAGGGAUCAGGGUCUGUCAUGGGUAUGCAUGGGGCUUACUGCAGUAUGGUUUUUAGGAAGUAAUUUGAUGUGUCUAAUUGUUCCUGGCACGAUAAGAUCUCUCUGUUUUAUCUUUAGGCACAAGACACCUUAUUGACUGCACUGUCUUACGGGGUGGCCCAUAAUAGCAUUGUUGGGGGGGGGGGGAGUCAGCAAAGGCACUGGAGGGUGGAGAAACAAGAAAUUAAAUUUCUCACAUGACAAUAGCUUGAAUCUCUUCUGAGCUUUUGCUUCCACCGAAUAUGGUGAACAUUCUUUUCAGGCUGAUUUCCUCAGCCACCGAAAUGUGUUUGUUCAGCCAAGCUAACCAGUAGCUACGCAUUCUAACAAAUUCCCUGCCCAUCCCUCUCCUGAGAAGUCUGGACACUGCAUACCGCCUCCACUCCCCAACACUGUACCAGCCUCUUCCCAGAAAAAAUCAUUUUUGUGGCAACCCCUGCGCCUAAGACUUUGUGUGGCUUUUUUUUUUUUCAUUCAGCCAUCUGCGUGGAGGUAGCUGUACUUCUCGCUCUAACUCCAGCCCCUCAGAGCAUCCUAUCGUUCUGGGAAGAACGCAGCAUCUAGAAUGAGCACACGAAUCAAACCUGGUUCCAGAACUCUUGAUUUGAGCAGAGUGAGGACCUCAGUCCCUCACUAACAGAUUUGGAAGCACAGACUGGUGUUUCAGCUGCCUUCCCACCUGUGAUCCAAUGAAAUUUGCUUGUCAAAAAAGAAUUUGGAUUCAAAGGGACCUGGGAAAGAAAGAAGAUAUAGGCCUCACUGAUGACAAGUAGAAAGAGUCCUGGGGAUCCUGGGCCCCCUCCAGCAUCAGAUGGCUCUAAUAGGGGCCUGACUGAAGCCAUCUAAACCAGGGAUGACAAGUAGAGAGAGUCCUGGGGGUCCAGGACCCCCUCCAGCAUCAGGGCCCUUAUAGGGGCCUGACUGAAGCCAUCUAAGCCAGGGAUAUAUUUUUUUUCCUCCAGUGUGACCUUCCCAGACCUGUCUGUCCGCCAUUGCUGAGCACAGAUCAGUCCUCAGCCACCCUUGCUGUUGCCUCUCCAGGGCUGGGAGGUGGAUCUCAGUCCGGACUCUCCACAGGGAUGAUGCUUGCAGAAACCUGAGCUCCUGUGGGAGAAAGCAAGAGGCUUGGGGUUCCAGCUCCCUGACCUCACUGGGACCCUCUACAUACCUGAGUGUAGCCCCAGCCUGCAUACUCCGACUUGAACUUGAUUCAAUACACCUGGGCCUCCAUGGCAUCUCCUCCUUCCCAUUAUUUUGGGUUUCCCUCCAGCUGGCACAGACAGCCUCAAAUCUCCUCCCCCUCCUUGUCUGGAGAGACUUCCCUGGUGUUCAAAGC
rnacentral:lncRNA from 1 species